UACGAAGGGGCUAGCGUUGCUCGGAAUCACUGGGCGUAAAGGGUGCGUAGGCGGGUCUUUAAGUCAGGGGUGAAAUCCUGGAGCUCAACUCCAGAACUGCCUUCGAUACUGGCGAUCUUGAGUCUGGGAGAGGUGAGUGGAACUCCGAGUGUAGAGGUGAAAUUCGUAGAUAUUCGGAAGAACACCAGUGGCGAAGGCGGCUCACUGGCCCGGUACUGACGCUGAGGUGCGAAAGCGUGGGGAGCAAACAGG
rnacentral:rRNA from 1 species